rnacentral:tRNA from 1 species
UGUAGUUGAAAAUUUAUACAACAAUAAAUUGCAAGUUUGGAAGUGUGGUUAAAGUCCAUCGGGGCAUAAG